UUUCAUUCAUAGGCAAGGUUGUAGCAACCUCAUGAUGGGUACAGAGAAAAAUCUGGCCACCAGCUGUCUCGUACUGCGGGUACCCUGAUAGGCGAAGACCUCCAGGAUGACCACAUGAAACAUGGGCAACAUCUGCCGAGACACUGGUCUCAGAACAGAGGACCUACCAGCUGUCAUGAACAACAGAGAGCUAUGGCAUGCCAUCGUCUGGCACAUUGCACCCCCAUAAGUAAAGAGCAAGAAUCAAGUUGGAUAAACCAAGGAGAGGUACCUUGAACAAAAAAGAAAAUAAUUUAAAAAGAAAAACAUAAUGUCUUAUUCAACAUUGAAUGUUUUGUCAAGAUAAUGAAAUUCAAGUCAUUAACAUGGGCAUCAUAUUUGUCUUUCAUUUCACUGUCAUACUUCAUCUAUAGAAUAAAAAGAUUGAUUGGUUGACUCUAGCAGUACUACUACUAGUUAUUAUUAUAAUGACAAAUUUGCUAGUUCCUAGAUUGAGGUCGUUCCAAGGUCAUCGUUCAAGACAAACAUUUACAGGAGCACCAAUCAAAAUCAGAAUGUUAUUCAUUAACUACGCAGCUAGCUACAGCCCCUAAUAGCCUAGCCUUCCAUCCCUCAGCCAUCUAAUGAAUAGGGCAAAGUAAAAUGCGCCCCAGUCAGGGAAAAUGGCCCUUCUCUCUAUUUCUUGCUGCUUUCCAAUCACAUAAAUGCUCUAUAAAUCCAGUACCAACAUAGCAAUGCAUAAUUAACCAGGGCUCAGUCUUCCAAGCGUGCUUCCUUCCACACAGCAGGGUAAAGCCAGGGGUGCUUAGUGCGAAGCGGAGGUUAGGUUAAGUUCGCUCCACUUGGGCCUUCGAGUUGGCAGGCAAUUCCCUGGAUUAUCUGGGCUUUCAGAAUCAGGCAUUAUGUUCUUAUUGACAACAUUGGAAAACUAGCAACACCCACAGCUUAAGCUAGACGCCCGCCGGUUGGAAAACAAUGCCACACAAUCAAGUUCUGUAAAUUGCUUGUUGCCAUUGGGGUCAUGCUCAACAGGAAGAUUAGACACUUGUACAGUGAGAUGGUAAUACCAUUAUUCCUGUGUAAUCUCUUCGACUGGGAUAGAAUGGAAUACCAUGGGAAAUCCAUACUUGGGAUACUGUUUCCAACACCAGUACCAUUCCUUUUCAAAUACUCUACCUACUAAAAUAAUGGGUCAAACUUACAGAAUUCUGUUGAUCUAUAUACUUUCAUGUCAUUGGGAUGGGAGCCCGACGAGAUGGCUGAGGCUUGGGUGCCCGACGAGGCGUGGCGUGGGAUGGGAGCCCGACGAGCCGGCUGAGGCGUGGGAGCCCGACGAGGUGUAAUGUGAGAUGGGAGCCCGACGAGACGGCUGAGGCGUGGGAGCCCGACGAUGUGGGAUGGGAGCCAGACGAGACGGCUGAGGUGUGGGAGCCCGACGAGGUGUAACGUGAGAUGGGAGCCCGACGAGACGGCUGAGGCGUGGGAGCCCGACGAGGUGUGAUGUGGGAUGGGAGCCCGAUGAGCCACCUGAGGCGUGGGAGCCCGACGAGGUGUGACGUGGGAUGGGAGUCAGACGAGACGACUGAGGCGUGGAAGCCCGACGAGGUGUGACGUGGGAUGGGAGCCUGACGAGCCGGCUGAGGCAUGAAGUGGGAUGGGAGCCCGACGAGACUGCUGAGGCGUGGGAGCCCGACAAGGUGUGACGUGGGAUGGGAGCCAGACGAGGUGUGACGUGGGAUGGGAGCCCGACGAGCCGGCUGAGGCAUGAUGUGGGAUGGGAGCCCGACGAGACUGCUGAGGCGUGGGUGCCCCAACGAGGCAUGAUGUGGGAUGGGAGCCUGCCAAGCCAGCUGAGACCCGACGUCACCUACAAAAACAAAAAACUCCCUGAUUCUUCAAAUUGUGGUGUCAGCAUUCUAUAAGGACCAACGCUAUGCGUUAAGAAGCAAGUACAGGGAGUGAACAUUUUUAAUGAAUAAACAAACAUGAAACAGGACAGCAUCUUGACAUGGAAAACAUAACAUUAGUGCUGACACCGGGAACAAACAGAGGAGCGGACCGAUAUAGAGGGGCAAUCAACAAAGUAAUGAGUCCAAUAUCCAGGUGAGUUCAUUAUUGCGCAGAUGCGUGUAAUGAUGGUGACUGGUGUGCGUAAUGAUGGGAGCGGGGCCCGGCGUGACACCAAAACUGUUCAGAGAAAAGGUACUGAAAUCAUGAGCG